GAUGAAGAACGUAGCGAAAUGCGAUAAGUAGUGUGAAUUGCAGAAUUCAGUGAAUCAUCGAAUCUUUGAACGCACAUUGCGCCCCUUGGUAUCCCGAGGGGCAUGCCUGUUCGAGCGUCAUUUCACCACUCAAGCCUGGCUUGGUGUUGGGCGACGUCCUCUUUGGGGACGCGCCUCGAAACGCUCGGCGGCGUGGCACCGGCUUUAAGCGUAGCAGAAUCUUUCGCUUUGGAAGUCGGGGCCCCGUCUGCCGGAAGACCUGCUCGCAAGGUUGACCUCGGAUCAGGAAGGGAUACCCGCUGAACUUAAGCAUAUCAAUAAGCGGAGGA
rnacentral:misc_RNA from 1 species